rnacentral:lncRNA from 12 species
CCCCCCCCCCCCCCCCCCCCCCCCCCCCCCCCCCCCCCCCCCCCCCCCCCCCCCCCCCCCCCCCCCCCCCCUCGGGAGGCACCGGAGACCUCGGCGGGUGUUUUCCCCUGCUCUGGAUCUGCGCACCGGGGAGGCGGCGAGAGACGUCCGAACCCGCGGUGCCUCCUCUUCCUCACCGGAUUCGGCUGCUGCGGAGGGCACUGAUACGGCAGCUUUGGCGGGCACCAAACAUCCGGCUGGGUCCAACCCACCCCAGAGAUUCUGCACGUGCAGGGGGAGCCAAGGGGAGCGGGAGAAGUGCAGCACAAUCUGAAUGCAGACCUGACAGUGGAAGCUGCUCCUGCACGGAGCUGGGCCGGGGGAGCCCUGUGCAUUGCAUGGGUGUUGGAGGCUGGGCUGAGCUGGAAUGCUGAGUGUCCCCCAGGCCAUCCCAGGGAGCCUAGCACAGCCUGGGCCUCUCCAUUUCUGCACCAGCCGCUCUCAUCCCCACCCAAAUGCCAAAGCUGCAGGCAGGCACAGGAUCCGAG